GCUUGGUUCCAAUUUUAACUUGAGUUUUUGUUUUGGUUUAUAGUUACAACUUUCUUUAUAGUAUGAAUUCAGCUUUGAUUUCAGUUUUAGAUCCUCAAAUCAUUGUUGUUUGUGUGUAGGAAAUGAGGUGGAAGAUAGUAUGGAUAUUAGGGAUUGUUUUCCAACUCAAAAUUAUUGGUAAGGAGGUGAAAAAUGAAGGGUUGGCACUCAAUAACUAAGGGGUCUUUUCACUAACAGCAAGACACGAACAACAAAAGGGGUUGAUGUUGGCUGUGAUAAAGCGAAAGCUGGUUUCAGCACUUAGUGAUGUUGGAGCCCAUUGUCAUGAAUUCCAUUGUCCACGGGAUUCAUAACAUUGAUAAAAGUAGAAAGCUGCAUCUUCUUAAGGACUAACAGGGGGACUGUUUGACAGACGUCAGCAGUAACUUGCACAAGUUCCUGAAAUCCAUCGCAAGGAGCGUCGGAUUGCCAUGACCAGUCCAACCGAGAAGAUGAAGCCACUACAAAUGGUCUUAUAUUGAAGAGCAGCCAAAGCAGAUGAUUGUCACUUGUAAGGGAAUGCUUGACCCUCUGGAGGUCCACUUUCUUGAUUUCCCCAAUGUGUUUAUCGAAGGCAGUGAGUUGCAGCUUCCGUUCCAGGAUUGCUUAAAGAUUGAGAAAUUUGGUGAUUUAAUUCUGAAGGCGACUGAACCAUAAUGCUUCUGUUAAUCUCUUCGAUGACUGGAUGAAGGUGAAGGUUUCUUUUAGGGAUCACUCUCAGAUUAUGCACAGAAGAAGAAUGUGAACGGAUCUGCACUGACCCUGUCUGGGAUUCGUGAUAUUAUUCUUGGUGCUUAGAUUACUCCACCCUUGCAACAACAUCAGCAGAUACAAGAGAUUGAAAAGCAACAAAAUUAAUCAAGCCAGCUGACAGCAGUCACAACAAAGAUUGAAAAGCUACAUAAUUAAUCAAGCCAGAGCAUGAUUUCUUGAACAACCUGGAGCCGCUUGGGUUUAUGGACUCCUUCAUAUCUUCUCUGAAUUUUAAUUUGAGGGUUAAAGAAGGGGCUCUUAUUGUGUCAUUUGCCUUAUCGAGGAGGGCGACAUUGUCUCAAACUUGGGUUACUGCAGGAAUUUUCUGUAUAGAGGUGGUGUUGGCUGAUGCUCUCAUGAGGGAGCACACAGCUCGACAGGAGGAUGAGCAGAACACAAACAAAGCGAGCGAGGUAGUUUAGAUUUGAAGGAAUUGGAGAGGAACACGUAAAUCUGUGGUUUGUGUGGCGGCUCCAGCGAAGAAAGCUGAAUCAGCAGCCAAGAAUGCUCGUCAAGCAGUUAAAAGACGGGUGGGCAACAAAGCCAAGAAAUCUGAGAUGAAGACGAUACUGGCUCAUAAGAUCAACCAUCAAAUGGAUGUUGAGGGUCUAAAGAAGGUGAACAAGGACAAAAAGUUCAUGCUUGAAGUCCCUUGGUUCAAAAGCUGAAAGUGUCGAAUUGAUGCGGUUGCUGAUCAAUUGCUUUCUCAUUUGGGUGGCCAUUUUCUAAAACAUCCAUAAGGUGCAGGUGCAAGGUUAACUUGCUAAAUACUUGUGUAAAUUCUUUGUAGAGGAAGAAUCCCUUCACACUUUUAUUAUCACACUAUCUCACACGUUGGACAUCAUUUUUGUGAAUAAAAAUCAAACCUUAACGGA